AUGUGCAUUCCUACAACAUAGCUUUAAUGCACCAGAUCCCAUUAGAACUCCGCAGUUAAGUGCACUCAGGCUAGAGUAGUACUAGGAUGGGUGACCUCCUAGGAAGUCCUAGUGUUUUACAUG
rnacentral:rRNA from 1 species